CAUUAUGUCUACUCGAAGUGGUGGUCCGUGGACCAGUGCCGGUACGCAGCGAGUUCCAAGAAAUGAAAGAAACAAUAGCAUAAUUUCAGUAAUUUCGCCUUAUGCACUGCAGUAAACAACUAACCAGCUGGCCGGUGGAGUGUGCUACUCACCGACCGUGGUAGAGAUUGUAUGGCGAAGCGAGGCCCUAUGGACAUAUUUAUCAAGCCAAGACAUCCAGUUGCUGAACACGAUUUUGAUCAGAUGACAGCGAUGUAAAUGAAACCGAAGUAUUGCCGGCAAAAAGAAUUUGUACUAGCUUCACUUGGAAAUAUGACUCCUCAUACAUUCAAUUCGCUUUUGUAGCCAUGAAUGACAGGGGAGUGCAAAAACCGCAGUGUGUUAUUUGUAGAGAUGUGUUGGCCAAUGACUCAAUGAAGUCAUCAAAUCUCAAGAGACAUUUAAAUACAAAACAUUAAGAAAUGAGUUCAAAGCUGAAAGAAUUAUUUGAAAUAAAGCAUGUUGAUUUAAAAGGCCAUCAGAAACAGAUCUUUGAAGUGUCACACAUAAAUACUUGUGCUUUGUAGGCUUCUUAUAAAGUAACACUUUGAACUGCUAAGGCUAGAGAGCCACACCCAAUCAGUAAGACGCUAGUGAUAGGCUGUAUACAAGAUGUCUGAUCCACUUUCAAAUGACUCUAUAGCUCGACGAAUUCACGAUCUGGCUCAUGAUAUGGAAGAUCAACUUAUAGGACAGAUUAAAUUAGCAAAGUACUUUUCUUUGCAACCUGAUGAAUGUACAGACUUUGCUAAUCAGGCAAUUCUGAUGGUAUUUGUGCGCUUUGAACAUGAAGGUGAUUUGAAGGAAGAGUUUUUUUUUUUGUUUUUUUUCUUUGCUUCACUACCAACAAAAGCAACUAGUUCUGAAGUGUUCAAGACUGUGAGCAACUACAUCAUUAACAAAUAUGGGUUGGAUCUCAAGUUUUGUGUAGGCUUAUGUUCCGAUGGUGCUGCCGCAAUGACAGGACGGCUUUCAGGAGAGGUUACCCAGGUUAAGGCGCUUGCCCCAAAAUGCAAGUCGACACACUGCUUCCUUCACCGAGAAAGUCUUGCAACAAAAAAAUGUCAACAGAACUAAGCAGUGUGCUCGGCGAGGUUGUAAAAAUUGUGAACCACAUAAAGGCGAAUGCUUUAAAUUCGAGACUAUUCGCUGCAUUAUGUGAUAAUAUGAGAGCUAAUCAUAAACAGCUCCUAUAACAUGCACGUUGGUUAUCAAGGGGGAAAGUCCUGUCAAGAGAGUUUGAGCUACAAAACGAGCUUGCUGAGUUUCUUCAGGACAAAAAUCCAAAUUGAUUACAAU